AAGUUCAAGAGGACCUUGUCGUUCAUUUUAUAGUACAAAAUGAUGGGUUUCCCUCGUUAGUAGAGGAGAGAAAAAGAAGGAGAAUAAAUAUUAAAAUAAAAUAAAAAAAAGGACUGGAAAAUUUGAAGAAAACGAAUAGGAGACAAAAUGAGAAAAAGUCUCCCUCAUGCCAGGCCACCAAUUAGUUAGGAAUGUUGGCUAUAAAAGCAGUUGCCUUUCUUUCAACUCACGACCUCCGUCGUCGACCUCCACCGCGAAGCCACUAUCGUGACCUCCGUUGUUGUUCUCCACAGUGUAGGGGCAUUCAUGGCCCCGCUCCAGCCUUCUUUCCUUUGCUCUCCAACUUUGGACCUAGAUUUUUGACUUAUGGAAGAUUGUUGUCAUUGAGAACCAUCAUCAAUUUGGCGUGGUACAACAUUCCAUUCUGUCACAAGAAGUGUGCUGUAAUUAUAUGGGAAAAAAAACAUUUAAUUGAGGAACUAUAUUUUAGUCAUGUAAUUUAGUCCUCAUUCAAUGAAAUUGAGUUCAAUUUACUUGAGAAA